rnacentral:rRNA from 1 species
UACGUAGGGUGCAAGCGUUGUCCGGAAUUAUUGGGCGUAAAGAGCUCGUAGGCGGUUUGUCGCGUCUGCUGUGAAAACCCGAGGCUCAACCUCGGGCCUGCAGUGGGUACGGGCAGACUAGAGUGCGGUAGGGGAGACUGGAAUUCCUGGUGUAGCGGUGGAAUGCGCAGAUAUCAGGAGGAACACCGGUGGCGAAGGCGGGUCUCUGGGCCGUAACUGACGCUGAGGAGCGAAAGCAUGGGGAGCGAACAGG